GGGGUUAUAACUUAGUGGUAGAGCUCUUGCCCAGCAAACAUGAGGCUCUGAGUUAAAGUCCCAGUAACCCUU
rnacentral:tRNA from 1 species